rnacentral:rRNA from 1 species
AAGUGAACAGGCAAGAGCUCAGAUUUGAAAGGCACUUUUGUGCCGUUGUAUUCUGAAGUUAGGGUCCUGAGAAACGAUGCUUAAGUCUUCUGGAAAGGAGCGCCAUGGAGGGUGAUAGCCCCGUCUAGCAUUGACCUCAUAUAGGAUCUUAACAUGGAGUCGAGUUGUUUGGGAAUGCAGCUCAAAUGGGUGGUAUGCUCCAUCUAAAGCUAAAUAUCUGCGAGAGACCGAUAGUAAACAAGUACUGUGAGGGAAAGAUGAAAAGAACUUUGAAAAGAGAGUGAAAAAGUACGUGAAAUUGUUGAAAUGGAAGGGUAGGCCGCUAACCAUGUAGAGCCGUGUUUGGGGGGAAGAUAAAUGCUGUAGAAUGUAGCUCCUCGGAGUAUUAUAGAUGCAGUUCAUAUUCCCACCCGAGCGCGAGGAUCUCAGGUUCUACUAAAUGGUGGUCURCCACCC